UACGGAGGGUGCGAGCGUUGUCCGGAAUCACUGGGCGUAAAGGGCGCGUAGGCGGCCUGGUAAGUAGGGGGUGAAAUCCUGCGGCUUAACCGCAGGGCUGCCUUCUAAACUGUCAGGCUCGAGCACGGUAGAGGCAGAUGGAAUUCCCGGUGUAGCGGUGAAAUGCGCAGAUAUCAGGAGGAACACCGGUGGCGAAGGCGGGUCUCUGGGCCGAUACUGACGCUGAGGAGCGAAAGCGUGGGGAGCGAACAGG
rnacentral:rRNA from 1 species